UACGUUUUUAUUUAUUUCCGCAAUAACAACAGUAUCAACUGCAGUACCACCAGCAACAAUAUCUGCAGGACCAUCAGCAUCGUAUCAAGAUUUCCUGCGAUAUCGCUCCCAGCACCCAGGUCCGAUAUCUCAAAGAGC
rnacentral:lncRNA from 1 species